UGUGAAACGUCGGCCGUUGCGAUACGGCAGC
rnacentral:sRNA from 1 species